CCCGGCGACCGGCGCACGGGUGAGUAACACGUAUGAAACCUGCCCGUAGCAGGGGGAUAAGCGGAAGAAAUUCCGUCUAAUACCGCGUAACAACCCAUGGAGGCAUCUCUGUGGGUUUAAAGGAAGCGAUUCCGGCUACGGAUGGUCAUGCGUCGCAUUAGCUUGCUGGCGGGGUAACGGCCCACCAAGGCGACGAUGCGUAGGGGUUCUGAGAGGAAGGUCCCCCACACUGGUACUGAGACACGGACCAGACUCCUACGGGAGGCAGCAG
rnacentral:rRNA from 1 species